CCCCCAACUUAGUCCUAAAGAUGAAGGUUCUUCAUUUCGCUUCCCCAAAUAUCCCCCCAACUUAGCCGACAUUGUCAACAAUGGAGUAGAAUCCCUACAAAAGACACUAAGCAAUACUCGAUUAACCUGAACAAAAUACAAAAGAUAUGAAUUAAAAAGCAUGAGUUGGGUUGCCUCUCAGAAAAUACUAAGUUUAACAUCUUCAGCCGGACGC
rnacentral:lncRNA from 1 species